CUACAACUACAACCGCACGCAAACAAGUCUAAAGCAUAUAAUGCUACUUGUACGGCGAGUCUUAGAUAUUAG
rfam:Lactobacillus suebicus DSM 5007 = KCTC 3549 strain DSM 5007 Scaffold3, whole genome shotgun sequence.